rnacentral:misc_RNA from 1 species
GAUGAAGAACGCAGCAAAAUGCGAUAAGUAAUGUGAAUUGCAGAAUUCAGUGAAUCAUCGAAUCUUUGAACGCACAUUGCGCCCGCCAGUAUUCUGGCGGGCAUGCCUGUUCGAGCGUCAUUUCAACCCUCAAGCACAGCUUGGUGUUGGGACUCGCGUUAAUUCGCGUUCCUCAAAUUGAUUGGUGGUCACGUCGAGCUUCCAUAGCGUAGUAGUAAAACCCUCGUUACUGGUAAUCGUCGCGGCCACGCCGUUAAACCCCAACUUCUGAAUGUUGACCUCGGAUCAGGUAGGAAUACCCGCUGAACUUAAGCAUAUCAAUAAGCGGAGGA